GACGAACGCUGGCGGCGUGCCUAAUACAUGCAAGUUGAGCGCUGAAGGUUGGUACUUGUACCAACUGGAUGAGCAGCGAACGGGUGAGUAACGCGUGGGGAAUCUGCCUUUGAGCGGGGGACAACAUUUGGAAACGAAUGCUAAUACCGCAUAAAAACUUUAAACACAAGUUUUAAGUUUGAAAGAUGCAAUUGCCUCACUCAAAGAUGAUCCCGCGUUGUAUUAGCUAGUUGGUGAGGUAAAGGCUCACCAAGGCGAUGAUACAUAGCCGACCUGAGAGGGUGAUCGGCCACAUUGGGACUGAGACACGGCCCAAACUCCUACGGGAGGCAGCAGUAGGGAAUCUUCGGCAAUGGACGAAAGUCUGACCGAGCAACGCCGCGUGAGUGAAGAAGGUUGUCGGAUCGUAAAACUCUGUUGGUAGAGAAGAACGUUGGUGAGAGUGGAAAGCUCAUCAAGUGACGGUAACUACCCAGAAAGGGACGGCUAACUACGUG
rnacentral:rRNA from 1 species